rnacentral:rRNA from 1 species
AAAGCAGACGAUGGAUGCCUAGGAUGCUAGAGCCGAAGAAGGACGUACAUGGUCGCGAUAGACGUCGGGGAGCUGCCACGAAGCUGUGAUCCGGCGGUGUCCGAAUGGGGAAACCCUCCCGAUGGAAGCAUCGGGGAGCCACGCGCAAGCGUGAGCGGGGAACGCCUCGAACUGAAACAUCUAAGUAGGGGCAGGAAAAGAAAUUACAAAGAUUCCGUAAGUAGCGGUGAGCGAAAGCGGAAAAGUCUAAACUUAUGCCGCAAGGCGUGAGGGUUGCGGGAUGUGCCAAGGGAUGAAAGAAAGAUAAUUGAACUGCCUGGAAAGGUAGGCCAAAGAGCGUGACAGCCGCGUAAGUGAAAUUUUUCUUUCCUCAAGGCCAAUUUCCCAAGUACCAUGGAGCAGAUACUCUGUGGGAAUCCGGGGUGACCACACUCCAAGACUAAAUACCCUAGCAUACCGAUAGUGAACUAGUACCGUGAGGGAAAGGCGAAAAGAACGGGCAAAACCCGAGUGAAAUAGAACCUGAAAUUGUCUGCUAUCAAGCAGUGAGAGUCCUUCGACCGCAAGGUCUCGGGAUAAUCGCGUGCCUAUUGAAGAAUGAUCCGGCGAGUUUUCGUUCAGUGCGAGCCUAACCAAGUUUAACUUGGGGAGGCGCAGGGAAACCGAGUGUUAACAGCGCGAUUAGUACUGGAUGGAAGACCCGAAACCUGGUGAGCUAACCAUGAGCAGGGUGAUCCCCCGAGAAAUCGGGGAGGAAGCCCGCACUCGUCAGAGUUACAAAUCUGUGAGAUGACUUGUGGUUAGGGGUAAUAUGCCAAUCGAACCAGGAGAUAGCUGGCUCUCCCCGAA